CGGACGGGUGAGUAACACGUAGAGAACCUACCUUACACAGGGGGACAACGGCUGGAAACGGCUGCUAAUACCGCAUAAGCACCCAGUUUCGCACGAAACAGAGUGAAAAGAGUAAAUCGGUGUAAGAUGGCUCUGCGUCUGAUUAGCUAGUUGGUGGGGUAAAGGCUCACCAAGGCGACGAUCAGUAGCCGGCCUGAGAGGGCGACCGGCCACAUUGGGACUGAGACACGGCCCAGACUCCUACGGGAGGCAGCAG
rnacentral:rRNA from 1 species